UUCUGCAUGAAAUGCAGCUGCGUCCACCUGCAGAGUGGGUGGCAGCCUGGGGGUGAGAGGAAGCCCAGGCCAGCCACCAGCGGAGGCAGAGGUCGACGUGGGCCUAAACCCAGCCCGGGAAAGCCUUUCCCGAUGACACUGACUAGAAGCUGAAGGAGGAGGAGCCAGCAAUGGAAGGUGACUCAGUUGUGGAGAGAAUGGCUGCUUAAGGCCAGAGAAAUUCUGGUGCCCAAAAAAGAGCAACAUCCUUGCCAAAAGGUUUCAGCAGGCUGCAGUCCACUAUGCAGCCUAAGAAAGCAAUCAGUGACAUGCAGAAGCCUCCUGCUCUAAUGAUUUCAUGUAGAGCAGUUUCCCUUUUGACAAGACUUUGAAUAAUAUAUAAAUUGAAACUGAAUCCUGGCAAGACAGAGGCAUUAUAUGUUCCAAGUACUUCAAGUUUAGGAGGUGCACUCCCUUGCAAGGAGUGGGGUCAAAGCUUGAGGGUACUUCUGGACCUGGACCCAACAUUGUAAUUGGAGGCUCAAGUUAGAGCAGGAACCCCUGCCCUCAGCCGCAAGCCCAGGGACCCCAAGGUUCAUCUAGUCCAACCACCUGCAAUGAAGGAAUCUCAACUAAAGCAUCCAUGACAGAUGG